UACGUAGGGACCAAGCGUUGUUCGGAUUUACUGGGCGUAAAGGGCGCGUAGGCGGCGUGGUAAGUCACUUGUGAAAUCUCUGAGCUUAACUCAGAACGGCCAAGUGAUACUGCUGUGCUAGAGUGCAGAAGGGGCAAUCGGAAUUCUUGGUGUAGCGGUGAAAUGCGUAGAUAUCAAGAGGAACACCUGAGGUGAAGACGGGUUGCUGGGCUGACACUGACGCUCAUGCACGAAAGCGUGGGGAGCAAACAGG
rnacentral:rRNA from 1 species